CCUACGGGGGGCAGCAGUCGAGAAUCAUUCACAAUGGGGGAAACUCUGAUGGUGCGACGCCGCGUGGGGGAAUGAAGGUCUUCGGAUUGUAAACCCCUGUCAUGUGGGAGCAAAUUAAAAAGAUAGUACCACAAGAGGAAGAGACGGCUAACUCUGUGCCAGCAGCCGCGGUAAUACAGAGGUCUCAAGCGUUGUUCGGAAUCACUGGGCGUAAAGCGUGCGUAGGCUGUUUCGUAAGUCGUGUGUGAAAGGCGCGGGCUCAACCCGCGGACGGCACAUGAUACUGCGAGACUAGAGUAAUGGAGGGGGAACCGGAAUUCUCGGUGUAGCAGUGAAAUGCGUAGAUAUCGAGAGGAACACUCGUGGCGAAGGCGGGUUCCUGGACAUUAACUGACGCUGAGGCACGAAGGCCAGGGGAGCGAAAGGGAUUAGAUACCCCUGUAGUC
rnacentral:rRNA from 1 species